UGGAGUGGUAAGUUUGAAGACUCAACUUGCACAAGUUGUAUAAUAUUCUUGCACGAUCAAGACCAAAUACAUCUCCUUUGAUUUCCUUCCCAAUAAAAUCCAGCAAUGGACUGCGAGAAGAAGGUGAGCUGAGGAUGGAUACGGUACUGUUAUAUAAAGCAGCGAUGCUAUGCAAAAUUGCCCCAUGUGCUUGAUGAACCUUUCCAGAUUUAGCCAAACAUUUUCCUGAAAUGAAAAUCGCUUUAGCUCUUAGAACAACCCAUAUUCUAGUUCGAACAUUACUCUGUGCAUGUAAUCCGUUCUUUGUUGGAAAAAAUAAAUAGCCGAGAAAAGAAAGUUAUCAGAAGCAAAACAAAACAUACAUUUUAAAAGUGUAUGAACCAAAUUUUAGGCUGAAAUUUUUAAUUUCUAAGGACAUGCAUUUUAAAAAGUAUAAAAAUAGAAUAUUAUAAGGGAUAAGGGCAUACCAAGGCUGACAAGAACCGUGCACGCAAGCCUCCUUUGGUAAAAUUGCCAUUUCAAACUUAUAAAGUUAUUCGGCAAUCCAGAUCUUGUAACUUCGUUAGAGAGGUGCUGCUGACUUAUUCUAUUGAUGCAAACGCAGAUUCUGUUUUUAGUGUCCCGCAUCAACCCCUUUGCAUCACAGAUAUCAGAUUCAUCAAUGAAUCUACACUUCUUAGCAGGAAAGUUUUGAGGUCGUUCUUCAAGUGAUCGACUCAUUGAGCGAGUCAACCUUAUAAUAGGCUGCUCCUUCAUCUCGCAAGCAUGCACAAUUAUAGCACCUCCUCCACGCCUCCUUUUCGAGUCUCUUGGUUUCUCUACCUCGGCUGUUUGAUUAAUGCAUCCUUUCCAAGCUGGGCAGCAUAUUUUUUGUAAGGCUGCACUAUACAGACUCUCAGAUUGUCUUUGAGACAAGUCUCCAAAUUGCUUAUCCAACGUAACCUCUAACAUCAGCUUGCAGUUUCGGCAAGGAAAAUUUUUUUGACUAUCUGUUAGCAGCUUUUUCGCAUUCUGGAGCUCCUUUUCUGCUAGAUCCCUACACUGCAUUUUAUUGUAGAGAUUCCCUAGUGGACAGAAAAAACAAAUAAGUGGCUUUCAUGGCCUAAGGAAAAAAGACAAAUUGCAGAAAAAAAUUAAUGAAGCUUCAUACCCAAAGCAAGAGAAAAUGCAAGGACAAAAGGUUGUAGGCUCUGAAUAGAUGAAACAGUUUUUCCCCAAGAUAGCAAGUUUCCAGCCCUAUCUCUUUCCCCCAUAAGCUCAUAAAUACCACCAAGCUGCAUUUUUAAAAUAGAUUAACAAUGCAGAAAUAGUGACAGUCCAAGCACCUGCCAAGGAAGUUUUUUUUAAAAAAAAACAAGACCUGAAGAACACUUUCCAAACAACAUUGGAGCAAAAUCCAAGGGCUUAAGUAGCAGCGGCUAAUAUCCCAGAGAAAAGUUCCACAUGGCCAUGAAUCGGUAUCUCUAAGACUUGAAACUUCAAACUUCUUAAAGUCGAAAGUCAUUAUUUCUACUGUCUGUGUAGUUUUCCCACUAAAUCUAAACCAUUUUCUUAGAAGAAAAUUUCGAAUCCUUUGUGCUUCCGUAGCAUAAGAGAGAGCCUAUAAAAAAAGGGAGAUAAUUAAUAAUCUUGAUAUUAAAAAACAAACUUUCAUAAAGUAUCAAGAAAAAACUACAAUCAGUUGCUAUAUAGUAUAUACUAGUAAGACUCUCAUGAUUCAAAAACUAUCUUACCUUGUAUAAAUUACCACAUGACAAUUCUCUUUCACAGAGAUCAUAAUAUAGAGAUGCAGCAACAAAAGACGAGAAACAGGGAAGUGGAUCCUGGGAGACAAAAUCAUCACAUUUUAGCCAAACAGUAUAAUUUAGAAGAAAAUAAUAGAUACAUCUAUUUCUUACACUUGAGACUGGUUUGGAAGUUGUGUCUAGUUUGGAAGCUGUGCGUUUAAUCUCAACUAUUGUGAUGUCUGACUCAUGUAUGCUCAGCUCGAACCCAAUUGAUUUUGCUUUUGAAAACUGCAAGCAACUUUUCCAGAAAUCUGUUGACUCUGAUAUUUCAUCAAAGUAGCAUGAUAAUCCCGUGAUGACAGCAUCAUCUAUUGGAGAAGGACAUAACGCAUGACUUAGCCGUCUACAGUCCCACAACAUUGCCAAAGCAUCCUUCAAUCUGACAUUUCUCCCUUUAAAUAUUCUAAACAUCAAGUCGUAUAUCCGUUGAUGGAGCUCUAUCCAACCCUAAAAUUGGAGGAAAAUAGAAGUAUUAAAGGCUAGAAAAAUUGUAAAACAAUCAGAAUGAAUGGAGGUAUAUCCCAAGAGAAUAAAUUUUAAUAUGAUAAAAUUACAAAAUAUACCUUUAUUGAGACCAAAUCAAUUACAUUGAACAGUAGAGGAAUCACGUUUUCCAGGGGCAUAGUCUCACCAGACUGAAUCCAUACACAUAGAUUCAAUGAUUUGUUAAUGUCUUCGAAAAUUUGCUGCACAUAAAAGUAGCCUGAAUCUCAUGAUCCAACACAAGUAUUAUCGGUUCUCUCUUCUCAUUAUAAUCCUCUAGCUUGAUCCCUGAGUCCCGUAUCAGUUGUAAGGCUAGCCGGUACCUACUUCGAAGGUCAUCAGAUAUACUGCUUCCAUUUUCUUCAUCAAUAUGGUCACUUGGAUGACCUCCUAUGCAGCAACCAUUCUUUGAACAAAGCUGAGAUAUCCAUGAGUCGCCGUCCUUGGCUGUGUCAUUUCCAAGGAAAACCUUUAGAAGUGUCUCAUUUACUUCCAUAUUACAUUUGGCCCUUAGCUCUUCAACCAGCUUCUUUUGCGUGGACUCAUGCGAUUUACUAUUUGAAGACUCUCCCAAAAGCAGAUGCCUCCAGGGACCCAACCAGGUGUCUUCAAGGUUUCUGUAUAUAAUAACAAUAAUACAACACGCUUCUUUUAAAAAUAGAAAUAUGCUGUAGUCCCGAAUUGUGCAACUAUAAGUGUGUUCACUAUAUGCAUCACCUCCGCAUGGAAUGUGUACCUUAGCAAUUUAUUAAGACGAAGUUCAAGUUCGUCUAUCUCCUUCCACCUCAAUUUUUCAUCUUCCAUAGGAACCUGAGAACCAGUAAAGUUGUACUCCUUCAAUAUUAAUCGAAAUGCUGGAGCGACAACAUCCACCACUGUGGAACCCCAUGGAGAAUCCCAUCUUUUAUCCAUCUUUUCAAUCCCACCUGCUUCGGUGUUGGUAAAAUUAUUUAUGCUAUCAAGUAACAAUGACAGAAAGGAAAUCCCCCUUGAUCAACCAAUGGAUAGUAUAAAUUUUACCUUCUCCAAGUGAAGAAUAAAUUGGCAGAAGUACAGCUAAAGGCUGCUGACUCUUUGAGCUCAACCGUGACAAGAGCAGCCACCCACAAACUUGGGGGCUUUUCAAUAACUCCUGCAACAAUUUACUCAGUGUGCCUCCAAGCACGCUAAUGCAGAUGGCUGUCGUUUCUGGUAGACCAUUGAAAAAGUUUUUUGCAAACUUAACAAGACCGUCGGUGCUUUUGGGAGCAAGCCUGCAGUGUCAGGUAAAAGACAAUGGACUCAGUAAGAAAAAAAAAACAAAUAAAUCCAACUUUAAUCCAUGUUUUCUAGCUUUAAGACCUGAGAAAGUCGAAUUCUUCAGAAGCCUGCAGAUCAGAAUGUUUUGGUCAGUGCAACUUAUCUUAUUAAGCAAAACUAACAAGGGAUACACAUAUUAAGAUACAACAAACAUAACCAGUAAAACAGAUCGUAGGAAAUUAGUUUUGUUUACCAACCUCUUUAUCUGAGUUGCGUCCUGAUUUCAUAAAUUUUGACAAGAAGUGGUAGUUGCUAUUAGCACCAAGAGAGGCUUGAUGAUAAUAUGUAACCCAAUGACUUAAAGAAAGCUCCCCGUCACAGGGGAGUGAGAACUCAGACCCUAUAGAAGAGACCAAGUAUAACACAGCAAGCAACCUUGAAAUCUGUUGUUGUACAUCAGCCAGUCUCUUUUUAAUAUAUGCUAAAUCACUAUCAAAACAUAAACAUAAGAAGAAGAAAAAGCUUCACCUUUCGACAGAGUAUCGGAUCCUCUCUGCUAAGUACAAAUGCCAACGUUAACAAUGAAACCAGCGUCUGAUAUGGAAUAUGUGAUAAAUCACAUAAAACAGACCUAUACAAAGUAGUGAUCAGUGAUGUCUGGUGAAAUUUACAAAUUGGCAUUUUAUUAAAUUUGUAUAUUAACCAAUAUGACGAACCUGGAGUGGUAAGUUUGAAGACUCAACUUGCACAAGUUGUAUAAUAUUCUUGCACGAUCAAGACCAAAUACAUCUCCUUUGAUUUCCUUCCCAAUAAAAUCCAGCAAUGGACUGCGAGAAGAAGGUGAGCUGAGGAUGGAUACGGUACUGUUAUACAAAGCAGCGAUGCUAUGCAAAAUUGCCCCAUGUGCUUGAUGAACCUUUCCAGAUUUAG
rnacentral:lncRNA from 1 species